rnacentral:rRNA from 1 species
GACGAACGCUGGCGGCGUGCUUAACACAUGCAAGUCGAACGGACAGGCCCUGCUUUUGUGGGUUUCUCGAGUGGCGCACGGGUGAGUAACACGUGAGUAACCUGCCCUUGACUUUGGGAUAACUUCAGGAAACUGGGGCUCAUACCGGAUAGGAGCUCCUGCUGCGUGUUGUGCGUUGGAAAGUUUCGGCGGUUGGGUCUGGACUCGCGGCUUAUGAGCUUGUUGGUGGGGUAGUGGCUUACCAAGGCUUUGACGGGUAGCCGGCCUGAGAGGGUGACCGGGCACAUUGGGACUGAGAGACGGCCCAGAAUGCUACGGGAGGCAGCAGGGGGGAAUAUUGCACAAUGGGCGGAAGCCUGAGGCAGAAACGCCGCGUGCGGGAUGACGGCCUUCGGGUGGUAAACCGAUGUCGAAUGUGACGAAGAGUGAGUGACGGUAAUGGGUAAAGAAGCAACGGCUAACUACGUG